rnacentral:rRNA from 1 species
GAGUUUGAUCCUGGCUCAGAACGAACGCUGGCGGCAGGCCUAACACAUGCAAGUCGAACGAGAAGCUUCUUCGGAAGUGGACAGUGGCAGACGGGUGAGUAACGCGUGGGGAUCUGCCCAGAGGUUCGGGACAACCAUUGGAAACGAUGGCUAAUACCGGAUAAGCCCGCAAGGGGAAAGAUUUAUCGCCUUUGGAUGAACCCGCGUAAGAUUAGCUAGUUGGUGAGGUAAUGGCUCACCAAGGCGACGAUCUUUAGCUGGUCUGGGAGGAUGAUCAGCCACAUUGGGACUGAGACACGGCCCAGACUCCUACGGGAGGCAGCAGUGGGGAAUAUUGCGCAAUGGGGGAAACCCUGACGCAGCCAUGCCGCGUGAGUGACGAAGGCCUUAGGGUUGUAAAGCUCUUUCGCUAGGGAAGAUAAUGACGGUACCUAGUAAA